rnacentral:lncRNA from 1 species
GUGGAAGUGUGGUAGGAAGCACGUUUAUUAGCAUUUUAUAUAGUGACUAUCUUCCAUAUCGCUUUACAGUUUUACAAAAAGUAUUAACAAGAAAAAUGGCAAAGUGGAUCGUGCACAAACAAAUUUAUUCUAUCUGAAUUGAAAUAAUCUGUUCCAAAUGAUACCAUUUUAUUGCCUUUAACAACCAUAAAAUUGUGAACAAGAUUGGGCCAGGUCUUCUAGUUCCUGGACAGAGAAUUCACAGAUCUGUUACAAGGGCAUUUAAAUUACAGCCAUCUAUAUUUUGUGGCUUUAAGAAGGGGAAAACACAUUUUAAAAUAUUCAAAAUACAAAAAUUACACCAAAAACAAGCACCAUAAACUGUUCAUGUUAUUAAAAUAUCUUAUUUGUCAGUUUAACAUACAUGUUACAGUGCCCAGAUUAAAUAGGAGGGAGAACUCUUCAGACACAGACCAACCAAUCAAUUCACAUAUCUGUCAAAACAUUUCAUUAUCACCAGUUGAAAAUCAAAAGUAUAAAUAAUGAAGAAAAAAAAAAGUAUAAAAAGAAAAAAAUCUACUAGAUCUAUAACAGAUGAAGAAAAACCGGCAACACAAGGGAAAAUACAUUUGAAUAACUAUAGGUCGUCCUUUCGUAGAAUGUAGUCCAACCAAAUUAGAAUGUCACACAAGUAACCGUUGUCUGAUGAAGACUAGUUGCUUAUUGCCGAAUACCACUGUUGCCACAUGUUUCUUGUAGUUCAGCUACAAACAUUUUGUAUUAGCGGAGAGUAGGUUGCAGAUCAUUGAACAUUGUCCUUGACUCUUUCUAACUUUAUUGAAAAUUUGCAAACUUGCUUGGUUGAUGGCUAGUGGAUCACCUCGGUCAAAUUUAUUAAUUGGAAUAGGUGGGCCAUAAAAUUAUAAGGAAUUUAUUUGUUGCCUUUUCUAAACCAAUGAGCAGAGAAACAUCUUUCAGAGGACAUUUUCUUUAAAAUAUACUCUGUAUUGUUAGAUUGUUUCAGUCUAAAGUUGAAUUAUUAGGGAUUUAUUUGAUUUCUGCAAUGUGGGCAAGUCACACACCCUAUUUAUUUAAUAAUCAUGAUUGAUCUCGUUUAUAUUUUAGAAUUGUUGGACUGCAGAAGAGAUUCAACUCCUGGAUGCAAGUAUUGCCUUUGUUGAUAUAUUGUGCUAGACUGACCUUAAUGUAGAUGAUUGGGAGACCCACUGAAAAAGUUUUUUCCAGUUGUUACUCAAUUUAAAAGUACUUUCUGCAUGUGUGGCAUUCAGUUGGUAAAAUAUUUUAGUGUAUUUUAAUGUAAUAUUGCUUGAUGUUUCACACUCAAACUUGUCCAGUUUUAACUGAAGGCCCACCAUUCCAGGAGCCAGGUAAUGUUUCCUUGGGGAAAAAAAAAACACCCAGAUCAGACUGGGCUGACUCAAAGUAUACAGAGCAAUAUCUGGCCUACAGUUUGUACCCCAUUGGUGCCCCCAAAAAACACAAUCUAUUAUACUUCAAAGGGUUUAGAAAAGCGAACAUAGUUCCACUUCUUGGAGCAAAAUGUAAGAAACUGCUGUUGAAUAAUGAGUGAAAUAUUUGGGCAAUGGAGGAAUGGAAAGCUAUGCCUAAGUUGAUGAAUUGUUUUUUUUUUUUUCUUUCUGCUGUUUCAGAGCAGACUAGACUAUAGAGCAACCUCCAUAACUAUUCAACGCUGCGUUCCAAGGUGCUGGCGAUGGUUUAACAUUAUGCUGUUUUCAUAGCAGGCAAUGGGGGAGUAUACAUCAGUUUUCUGGAAAAAAAAAAAACAGUUAAAAGACGUCAUUAUUUUGGUUGGUUAUUUAUUAAAGUGAUAUUAAAAGUGCCAGUUUUUCUUCCAUAAUACAUUCCACCAGUUGCACAAAUUUCCAUUUCAGAAGGCCAUCAAAUUUCUAAAGUGGAAAAAUGUAUCCGCUUUUUCUGUUUGAAAUAUUCAUAAAUCUAGUGCAUUGGUAAAAAAAAUGACGGAAUUUCAAAAUGUUAGCUAAGCAACAGGUGAAAAAUCUGACAGGUUUGAUAAACCGAACCAAACAUUCUCCAAACAUUCACCAAAAAUUGGCCGGAAUUAUUCUGAGACAGUGUGAUUGUGUCUACUGAUAAAGACAGAGGUUUAGGGUAUCAAUGUGACAUGUUAUUUGUUCUGUGAAUCUGAUAAUCUGCUAAACAGCAGUAGCCAUCUUAGCCGCUAGGUAUCAUCAAUGAAGAAUCCGUUGGAUGUGACUUAGUGUAGUUUUUUCAAGAGACUCUAUAGGCACCCAGACCACUUUAGCUCAUUGAAGGGGUCUGGGUGCUGGGUCCCUUUUGCAUUUAGUGCUGCCAUGUAAAACAUUGCAGUUCCAGAGUAGUAGAAUAUUCACAUUGCAGCACAAAGUCGGCCUCCAGUAGCUGUCUCCCAGAACGUCCCCCAGACAGCCAUUGAAGGUGUACAAAGUUGUAUCCCUUUAAGUGUUCAUUUUUAUGUGCCCAUUUACGUGCUGAUUUGCUAUAUAAAACUAUUGUGGACUAUCAUGCCCAGGAACCUCAUGAAGCAGUUGAUUACGGUUAUGUCACAUAAUAAACAAGGGGUUGCCUUACUAUGCUGUUAUUUUAAAAAUGUUUUCUUUAUCUGUUAGGAGGUUUAUAAUUGUUAUCAUCUACAAGGAAAUCUGUAAGUUUUUUGUAUUCAUUUUUUAAUAUUGACAUUUCAAACACUUUAGUGUCCCCUUUGAAUCUCACUGUCUUACACCAAAUUAUGGAGCUUAUUGUUAAGUGGGCCAAUCCACUUUGUUUUUGUAGUCUAUGUGUUGAUUACAUGUAACCUUCCUGGUAAAAUGUUUUAUAAAUAAAUAAAUUCAACAGGGCUCUUCUGGAGUUUCCAGACAUACAUAACGUUUACAUAUAGUGCCUUGCCAAUUAUUAACCCCUUGCAUGUUUCCCCAUUUUUUAGUAUUUAAUUCUGGAUUGAAAAUGGAAUUAAAAACUAGAUUGCAAGACUGGUUACAGUGAGGGGUAGAUAAAUAGCCAUUACAGUUCCACAGACACGUUUAUUAUAUUUGGAUUUGAAAUCAAUAUCUGAAAAUGAAAGAUUAAAGAAAGUUUUCUACAUCAAAUUCUCCAAAAUGUUCACCAGAUCAAUGGAUUUUUAGCACUCUCAUGCUGGAAACAGAUAGAUUUAGAGGGUGGGGAAUGUUACCACGAUAUUGAUUCAUAGAUAAUACAUAUUAGAGUGUGUUUAGUUCUAUCUUUUCCCAUUUAUCUUACGUUUCUAAUCUUAUACGGCUAUUGCUUACUUCUAACCAUUUUAUUUGCUACACUUGUCAGUAUUCUCUAAAGAUUGUACAUGCAAGGUGUGGGUAAGCUUUGGAUUGGACAGGCUUAAAGGGACUCUUCCUGGCACUGCAGAACCCUGCAGGUCCCCUCUCCCUCCCACCCCCCAUCCCAUGUUGCUGAAGGAGUUAAAACUCCUUCAGUGACUUACCUGAAUCCAGCGCCGAUGUACCUCGGUGAUGGGUCAGGCUCUGCCCACGCUUCUCCCCAACCAACGCCAGCCAGCGAGGGAGACCUAAUGCGCAUGCGCUGCAAUGGCCGCGCGAGUGCAUUAGACCUCCUCAUAGGAAAGUAUUAUUCAAUGUUUUCCUAUGGGGAUUCCGGCGACGCUGCAGGUCCUCAUGCAUAGCGCGAGGACGUCCUGUGUCGCUUAGAACCCGGAAGUCCCUCUAUGGCUGUCUGAUAGACAGCCACUAGCUGAGAACUUAAUCCUGCAAGGUAAAUAUUGCAGUUUAUAAAAACUGCAAUAAUUACACUUGCAGGGGGUUAAGGAUGAUGGGAGUUCGCACACACAACACUCCAAUGGGCAGAAGUGGUCUGGGUGCCUGGAGUGUCCCUUUAACAAGCACAUCCUCCAAAUAUAGAGAAAUCUAAAUUAUAGUGAACCAACAAACCACAAUAACGAAUAACCGAGACCAACCAAGAACAAAAGCAGAGAGUCACCAAAUGAACGCACUAUUGGGUCAAAAAGGAACCAUAAAAGGUUGCAGUAUCAAACAAAAUUGCAGUUUAAAUAUGGAGACUAUAUUGUGUAUUAUUGAUCCCUGAUAGAUUAGGACGACAGCGCCCACCUUUUAAAAUAAAACAAAGCUUGGCAGUACACGUUAAAAUAUUUACACCCGGAUAAGCUAUUCUGCUGUGCAAUUUUUUUUUCUUUAACAAUUGGUGGAAGAAAACAAAACCGAACGCUAAGAUCUCACUCCGCAAUGUGUCUUUUAGUGUUUGUGACAGACAGAGCUAUGAUCUGGCUCUUGAAAUUAAGAUGUUGAAUGUGUGUGAGAAAGAGGCAAGGAGGGGGUGCAUGAGGUAGGCUGCAGGUUUUUUUUUUUUUUUUUUGGUUUUUUUAAUUCCUCGGGACAUUUAGUAACAUUUUGCUUGAGAAGGUUCUCUGUGCAACCCCCUCAAGGCUAAAGAAGAGUCUGAUCUCCCCCAUCGCUUCCUCUCUCUGGCAGCCUCCUUAGAAACAAUAAACAGCCAACCACUGUAUGCCUUAAAAGGCCGCAGCUCUGGCCAGGCUGUGCUUUCACAUGAGAAGAAUCCAGCCAGGCUGGGAGAAGGCUACAGGGAUCCUUAUAAGGUUAAAUUCUCAAACAUUGAAGAAGCAACAUUCAACUUGAAACAUACAGGGAAGGAGUAUGAGCGUGCCACCUAGUGGAAGAGAGGGGCACAAUGUCCCAAAAGUAAUCAUGCAUAAUCUGAUAUAAUUUCCACUCCAUACUCUCUCUCCCCCACCCUCUGUCUCUGGCAAUAUAAUGUUAUUCAGGGGUUCUGGAAACACCAGCGUAGACUAUGAGAAGGAAGGCUGAGUGUGGACAAGAUGGCAUAAUGUUCCCCUAAUAGACUUUAUUUUACAAAUAUAUAAAUAUAAUUACAUACAUUAAUGGGGUCAGGGUUACUGCAUUAUCUUACUGUGAUCUUACAAUUCAGUCUUUUCCAUUCGUGAUAUGGUGGCAGAGGAACCGGGGCGACAGCAUUAUCAGAAGCAUUAUCAGAAGAGGGAUGGCGCACUGGGAUAUGUCCUGGUACUACCCUGCAGUUAGUGCCUCCUGUCAUGCAAGCUUUCUGUUAAAUCGAACAUUACUGAGAAUAAUAUGUGGAUGGCGUCAUCCUCGGUGCAAUACAGGAUUUGAAAACAUAAUUUGCUGAUGGAAAUAAUGGAUCAUGUAGAAUUUCUGCGAGCCAUUAGGAAUGUGGAUCUUUAACUCAAAAUACUUUUUUAUUGUCCCAAACACCCUUACAAAUAAACAAGGAACCCCUGUGUUGAUGAUGUGAACUAUUGGUCUCUCUUUCUUGUCCCAAGAUUACUGGUCUCUUUUACGAAGAUUUGUAUUUUUGAUGCCAGACAUUUAACGUUGGCCUACAGCUCAAUUAUUUCUUAAUUUGCAAUGCUCUUGACCUACAGCAGACAAAAUACAAGAAUGAAGCUUGGCAGCAGCACUCCAGUCCAGAUGUUUUGUACACACAAAGUGUCUUUGUCAAGUAUAGACACACACUUUGUGUAUUGAAAUGUUACAAUGUCCACUUUGUUGUGUGCUUGGAUUGUGGUGUUGAAUUUCAUUCUUUAACGAUACUUUGGGAUCUAGCUGCAUUGUUACUUAUAUCUUGAGAUUCAUGAAUAUCCUUUACAAUAUUAAUAUAAUCGUAACCCCCAAAAUAGACAGGUCAUUAUAUAUUUUCCUUUAUAUGGAACAUAAAUUCUUAUUUCAGAUGAAGAUCUGUUGACCAUCACAAGUGCUAGAUGUUCUCAUUGAUUUCAUUUGGAUGUCAACUCUCCACUCAUCCGGGGCAUAGUGUUGGGAAAUCUUGGAAGCCAGGCACAGAGACGUUCACACCCUUGCAUUACCCCCUUACCAGAGACGAUCUGGAGUGGUACGUGUUCCAUGGCAGUAAGGAAAAACAUAAGUAGGAUGUUUUUCUGAAACAUGCGUGGUGUUCCAGCUGGCUGGCAUCGGUUGGGGAGGGAGACCUCUCUCUAGGCCUGGGGUAGACAACGCUACAUGACCCAUAAUGUUCUUAUAGUCAGCAUGUCGGCAAAGCUUCAGGGAAAAUGUAGUCCACAAAAUCUGGAGUGGGGUAGAUUGCCCACCUUUGGUCCAGGCUAAGUCAAUUCUGAUGAUCACUUCAGACAGUUUGGACUCAUCUUCAGUUUUACAAAAUACAGAUUAAAGAACAGCACACAUGUAAAAACACAGUUUUACAAUUUACAAGGCUACUUAAAAUCACCUAUCACAGCAAACAGAGAUGGGGAUUCAGUUCCACCAUAUGGCCAUAGAGACCUAGUCACUGAAGCUCUUUUAUACAGAGUUCUUAGCCAUGAUUAGAGCCUAGAGCAGGGAGAUGCAAUUCUUUUGGUACACCUCUGCUGGAGGAGGUGUGGAAAUUUUUUCCACUGAGUUGACCAGGCAGGGUAAACCCUAACCUUAGUCUGUUGUGAUAGCUGGACUAUUCUGCUUUCAUGGGCGUUUAAUGCAGGUCAGAGCAGGUGCCACCAAGUAUUUGUUAGCUAUCCCAUGAUCAAUAACGGGGGAGAAGAGGGGGGUGGAAAAAUAAAAGAUGGAAGAAGGGUCUAAGUGAGAAUCAUGUGGAAUGCUUAACUUUAGGCACUGGAAUAUUUGCUUAUAUUUUCUUGAGUUCACAUGGUGAAUGAAUUUGCACGGUGAUCCUUUGGCCAUUUUGGGGAACUGCUGUGUUAUCUAGCUGGUGCAAGUUAAUCUACUGAGGCAUCAAUGGAGGCAUUUGAGAAUGAGCAUUGAUGCUUUUAUCUUUAUUCCAGCCUCUUGUUCUAUUAAAUCAGUGCGCAGUGUGAGACCACAAACCAGAAGUGACAACCACAUCCUACGAGCAGGCUCUUGGGUUGCCAUUCCAGGUAAAAAUAAUAACAGCUAACUGCGAUGGCUUACGAAAUUUUGUUGAACACCUUCUGAUAAUUUCUACAACCCACAGAAAAUUGUUUAUACACAAUAAGUAAUUCUGAUUUUAAAUGCAAAUAAUAAAAUUGUGCAGCUUGUGUACUUAAAUAAAUCCAAGGAACAAGGAAAAUCUCCAAAGAUAGAUAGAUUUAUGUCCCUGUAAUGUUUGGGUCAAUCCAUAGUAUUAUACCUUUUGGCAUACUUUCAGAUUAUGCUGCACUCUUCUCUGUACUAUAUACAAGUUUAGAACUUAGCAGCCUCAUCAUUUUUUAGGAAUAAUAUAGUGUUUAUUCACCACUUCACUUUCAUGAAUUUUAGAUUUUUAUCAACUCAUCCUGUAAUUUAGAGAACAGAUCACAUAGGGAAAUGUUUCUUUGAGCACCAGAGUUGCUUGUUGAAUGAUCUAUUUUUGAAACAUUUUUGUGCCUCUCUAAGUUGAACCCUUGUUGAAACCUGGCAACAGUCACAGAGUGUUCAGAACUCACUAAGGUUCAAAGAUGAGAAUAACCAUGGUAAGUUUUAUACCAAACAUGGACUGCUUUGACCCUGAUUCUGCUUUCAAGAAUGCUUCAAACUCAAAGACUUAAUACAAUGUUUAUCAC